CUCAUCUGAUAUUUUAUGGUAACAAGAUGGCUCUAUGAGCUGGCCAUACCCAGUAGUCAGAGUGAAACUGGCCAUGUAAAAACGACAAAGCAUAGGAUUCAGGGUAGGAGCUUGGGCCCCGUGGUAUCAGUUGACUUACAGACUGAGUUCAACCACAUGGGCAACAUAUUAAUCAAUCAUACCUAUGCAAUAAAGUCUUCAUAAAAACUAUGGACAACAAAGUUCUGACUUUGCAAAAAAGAAAGAAGAAAGUAAAUAAAUGAAAAUAGAAAGGAAGCUAGAGAAAGAAAGAGAGAAAAAAAGAAAGAAAGAGAAUGAAUGAAAGAAAUAAAGAAAGAGAAAGAGAGAGGAAGAAAGAAUAAAUGAGAGAGAAAGAAAGAAGAAAGAGAAAAAAAAGAAAGGAAGAAAAGAGAGAGAAAGAAUUUUUUUUCAUUUUACUUUCCCUGAAUCCUUCCCCAGAGUGUUCAGAAAUAUCAAAUAUGAGCUGAAUAAGUAGUGGAAAGAUAAGGAUUCAUCCCUUCCACAGACUACAAACCUGGCCGAUAGAGGGAAUAUUUCAUUUUAGAUCAAAUGAUUCACUGUCAUCUUUGUCUGAUAUUACAACAUAGUGACCACUCAACUAUCCUCAAUGGUAUUUGACUACAUGGAUUCUGUAAAAAGCUAUUGGAGACUUGUUAAGAAAGCUGCUGCCUUUCACCAGAGAGCUACAUGUGCACUUGGCUUAGGACUCAGAGACUUUGAAGAAGAUUUGCAGGAACUAGAGGUCCAGAUGUUACGAGCAGCAAGAAUCCUUUUCCUUUAGAAACAGGAAUAAGAAGACCAUCAGAGUCCACAGUUGCAGGGAUGGGAAGCAAACCUUUCUGGAUCACAAGGUAGAGAUGGGGUUUCACCGUGUUGGCCAAGAUGGUCUCGAUCUCCUGACCUCCUGAUCCACCCACCUUGGCCUCCCAAAGUGCUGGGAUUACAGGUGUGAGCCACUGCAUCCAGCCUCACUUGGGAAUUUAAAGUAAUAUAAACAUUAUACCUAAGAAGAUAGAUUUGAUGUGUGA